CUGGCUCCGUGCACAAGUAGCCACACCUGAACAUCACCACGAUUGCUCACGAUGGUGGGUGGCGGCACACUAACGCUGUUCUUCCUGACAAGCCGAUCCCUGUUCUCUGCCGCUGUGCCACGUCAUGCCUCAGACGUCACCGAGCUAGAGACGCUCCGGGCGGUGCAAGCGGUUGUGUCGUCAUCCAUAUCUCCCUACGGGUGUCCAGUGGCGCUCUUAGUGAACAGCCUCGGACAGAUAUCGCAUGGCAUCAUCGAGG